rnacentral:rRNA from 1 species
GGGUUGUGAGGUUAAGCGACUAAGCGUACACGGUGGAUGCCCUGGCAGUCAGAGGCGAUGAAGGGCGUGCUAAUCUGCGAUAAGCGCCGGUAAGGUGAUAUGAACCGUUAUAACCGGCGAUACCCGAAUGGGGAAACCCAGUGUGUUUCGACACACUAUCAUUAACUGAAUCCAUAGGUUAAUGAGGCGAACCGGGGGAACUGAAACAUCUAAGUACCCCGAGGAAAAGAAAUCAACCGAGAUUCCCCCAGUAGCGGCGAGCGAACGGGGAGGAGCCCAGAGCCUGAAUCAGCAUGUGUGUUAGUGGAAGCGUCUGGAAAGGCGCGCGAUACAGGGUGACAGCCCCGUACACAAAAGCGCAUGUGCUGUGAGCUCGAUGAGUAGGGCGGGACACGUGGUAUCCUGUCUGAAUAUGGGGGGACCAUCCUCCAAGGCUAAAUACUCCUGACUGACCGAUAGUGAACCAGUACCGUGAGGGAAAGGCGAAAAGAACCCCGGCGAGGGGAGUGAAAAAGAACCUGAAACCGUGUACGUACAAGCAGUGGGAGCACAGGUUUACCUGUGUGACUGCGUACC